rnacentral:lncRNA from 1 species
CGCAUGUAGUAAUUUUCAGUUAUGAUUAUUACAGAAACCUGUAUUUCCGCCUUUGUGACAAUUCAUGUGCAACACAUAUAUCUAGAUGGAAUGCAUGGACACACACUUUCAUUCUAAUUGCUUUUCCAAAUGCAAAAGAGUCCCAUGAAAUAAAUCAGACUCAGAUCUGGGCGGAAGAUCUCCUUUACACCACACCUUGUGAGGUAGAACUUCCAUUACAGCAAAACCUGAGGAAAUCCAGGCCGCAAGUGAAGGUAUAUGUCAAAAGUAACUUGGCUCGUAAGUGGCUGAGACAGUAUCUCAACUGAAGUGUACCAGACCUCAGAGCUGAUGCUCUUUUUCCACUAUUCAUGAUGCC